rnacentral:lncRNA from 1 species
GAUACAGUUUAGAAAAACUAUUUCAGUAUUCCAGGUGAAAGUAAUACAAAGCCUGUAGUGAAGUAGCUAUUGGCACCAAAAACUACCCCUCCCCUGCCAAACUGUUCAAUUAUGCAAACUUUAAUGGGAAGGAUGUGCUAUGGAGGUGCUGAUAUUUAUGUGAAGUUCUGGAAAUGAUGAAAUAAUACUGAUAGAAAACAGAUCAAUUCUUGUUGAUGGCUCAUGCCUGUAAUCCCAGCACUUUGGGAGACCGAGGUGGGCGGACCACUUGAGGUCAAGAAUUCAAGACCACCCUGACCAACAUGGUGAAAUGCUGUCUAUACUAAAAAUACAAAAAUUAGCCAGGUAUGGUAGCACACGCCUAUAGUCCCAGCUACUCAGGAGGCUGAGGCAGGAGAAUCGCUUGAAAUCAGGAGGGAG